rnacentral:tRNA from 1 species
GCCGGUGUAGCUCAGCUGGUAGAGCAGCUGACUUGUAAUCAGCAGGUCGCCGGUUCGAUUCCGGCCGCCGGCUCCA